GCGGAGUGGUCUCAGCACAGAGCGCUGGGGCCCCUAGGCUCGGCGGGGUGGGUGGGGGGGGGUGCACUUUAUUUAGUGCAGGACAUGCUCCAUCCAGGACACCGGGACUUGGCGAGCCUGGAGCAGGCACAAAAGCCUCCCAGAAAUAGUAGAGAACUGCAGGGCAGGCUGAGAGCGAGAAGGGAACCACAUCCUUUGUACAGGCACAUUGUAACCUGCUCAACUCUGUCAAGUUCUACAACUUCAGAUGCUGCCUGACCCACUGAGUUCCUCCAGAUCCUGUUGAUUUGCUGCAAUUCAAAGGCGUUCUUUUGAACAACUAGUACCGGAACAAUGAGCUGUAUGAUUAUUUGAAUUACUAACGGUGCCAAAGUCUCUCCCACAUUUUAUGGGACACAGGAACUUGGAGUACAUUGAUUAUUGAGGGUGUGCAGGAAAGAAAUGUAUCCAGCUUCCUGUCUUAGGGAUACAGGAAAUGUUUGCCUGCUGAGAGAAGGUCUGAACAGCAUCCCUUUAGUAAACACCACCUUUAGCUUUCAUUAUUUUUCUGAAGGCUUGGAUAAAAUAAAACCU